rnacentral:rRNA from 1 species
GAAUUUAGCAGAGAUGCUUUAGUGCCUUCGGGAACCGUGAGACAGGUGCUGCAUGGCUGUCGUCAGCUCGUGUUGUGAAAUGUUGGGUUAAGUCCCCGCAACGAGCGCAACCCUUAUCCUUUGUUGCCAGCACGUAAUGUUGGGAACUCAAAGGAGACUGCCGGUGAUAAACCGGAGGAAGGUGGGGAUGACGUCAAGUCAUCAUGGCCCUUACGAGUAGGGCUACACACGUGCUACAAUGGCAUAUACAAAGAGAAGCGAACUCGCGAGAGCAAGCGGACCUCAUAAAGUAUGUCGUAGUCCGGAUUGGAGUCUGCAACUCGACUCCAUGAAGUCGGAAUCGCUAGAAUCGAGAUCAGAAUGUACGGGAACGCCCGC